GGCCAGGAUGAAGGUGCCGUAACAGGUACUGGAGGUCCGAACCGACUAGUGUUGCAAAACUAGCGGAUGAGCUGUGGAUAGGGGUGAAAGGCUAAACAAACUUGGAAAUAGCUGGUUCUCUCCGAAAACUAUUUAGGUAGUGCCUCAAGUAUUACCGUCGGGGGUAGAGCACUGUUUUGGCUAGGGGGUCAUGGCGACUUACCAAACCAAGGCAAACUCCGAAUACCGACGAGUACAGCUUGGGAGACAGAGCACCGGGUGCUAACGUCCGGACUCAAGAGGGAAACAACCCAGACCGCCAGCUAAGGUCCCUAAAAUUGGCUAAGUGGGAAACGAAGUGGGAAGGCUAAAACAGUCAGGAUGUUGGCUUAGAAGCAGCCAUCAUUUAAAGAAAGCGUAAUAGCUCACUGAUCGAGUCGUCCUGCGCGGAAGAUGUAACGGGG
rnacentral:rRNA from 1 species